GCCCAGGCGCGAAAACUUUGCAAUGCGGGAAACCGUGACAAGGGAACUCUGAGUGCCCGUUAAAUCGGGCUGUCCAUCGGUUUAAACAACCGGUGAAGAAAGGGCCGGGCAAGACCGGUGCCAGCCGCCGCGGUAAUACCGGCGGCUCGAGUGGUGGCCACUAUUACUGGGCUUAAAGCGUUCGUAGCUGGUUUGUUAAGUCUCUGGGGAAAUCUUCCGGCUCAACCGGAAGGCGUCUCAGGGAUACUGGCAGACUAGGGACCGGGAGAGGUGAGAGGUACUCCAGGGGUAGGAGUGAAAUCCUGUAAUCCUUGGGGGACCACCUGUGGCGAAGGCGUCUCACCAGAACGGCUCCGACAGUGAGGGACGAAAGCUGGGGGAGCAAACCGGAUUAGAUACCCGGGUAGUCCCAGCUGUAAACGAUGCGCGUUAGGUGUAUCGGUGACCACGAGUCACCGAGGUGCCGAAGAGAAAUCGUGAAACGUGCCGCCUGGGAAGUACGGUCGCAAGGCUGAAACUUAAGGGAAUUGGCGGGGGAGCAC
rnacentral:rRNA from 1 species